CAGUCGCCGCGGGAAUACGAAGGGGGCUAGCGUUGUUCGGAUUUACUGGGCGUAAAGGGCGCGUAGGCGGGCGAAUAAGUCAGGGGUGAAAUCCCAAGGCUCAACCUUGGAACUGCCUUUGAUACUGUUUGUCUUGAGUUCGAGAGAGGUAAGUGGAACUGCGAGUGUAGAGGUGAAAUUCGUAGAUAUUCGCAAGAACACCAGUGGCGAAGGCGGCUUACUGGCUCGAAACUGACGCUGAGGCGCGAAAGCGUGGGGAGCAAACAGGAUUAGAUACCCCCGUAGUCCCUGUCUCUUAUAC
rnacentral:rRNA from 1 species